rnacentral:lncRNA from 1 species
UUAGGAGACAAAACUCCUCUUGUAGAGAUCGUCUACGAGUUUAACGGGUUGGUGAACCUAAAAUCACCCGUCACGCCUACGAAAAGGAGCCUAGGAAUCGCAUCUAGUUUUCUUAGUUUAUUUUCUUUUCUUUUGAUUUUUACUCGAGGACGAGCAAAAGAUAGGUAUGGGGAAGUUUGAUUAGUCCAUAUUUUUGCAUAUUUAAGUGCCUAUUUUUUGUUUAUUUUCGUAGUAUUAAUCGCUUAUUUAUUUUAUUUCAGGAAAUUGUAGAUAAAUAAAGAAAGAAGAGAAAAUGCAAGAAAAAGAAGAGAAGGGAAAAGAAAAGAAGAAAGAAAAAGGGUUGGCAAGUAGGACACAUGGAUGGCCACAAUUCUCCCAACACUCAAGGCACAUGGAUGGUCAAGAUGGAGCCACCCUACCCCUAAACCCUAAUUCUUUAGUUAUAAAUACCCCUCUUCUUUUACUUGUAAUCACCAACCUAGCAACCUAGUAACCUAGCCACCU